rnacentral:rRNA from 1 species
AUACGGAGGGUGCAAGCGUUAUUCGGAAUCACUGGGCGUAAAGGACACGUAGGCGGGAAGCCAAGUCUGAUGUGAAAUCCUACAGCUUAACUGUAGAACUUCAUUGGAAACUGGUUACCUAGAGUAUGGGAGGGGGAGAUGGAAUUAGUGGUGUAGGGGUAAAAUCCGUAGAUAUCACUAGGAAUACCUAAAGCGAAGGCGAUCUCCUGGAACAUAACUGACGCUAAGGCGUGAAAGCGUGGGGAGCAAACAGGAGUAGAUACCCUAGUAGUCC